rnacentral:rRNA from 1 species
GGAAUAUUGGACAAUGGGGGCAACCCCGAUCCAGCCAUGCCGCGUGUGUGAAGAAGGCUUUCGGGUUGUAAAGCACUUUCAGUGAGGAAGAAAGCCUUGGGCUUAAUACGUCCGAGGAAGGACAUCACUCACAGAAGAAGCACCGGCUAACUCCGUGCCAGCAGCCGCGGUAAUACGGAGGGUGCAAGCGUUAAUCGGAAUUACUGGGCGUAAAGCGCGCGUAGGUGGUUUGAUAAGCGAGAUGUGAAAGCCCCGGGCUUAACCUGGGAACGGCAUUUCGAACUGUCAGGCUAGAGUAUGGUAGAGGAGUGUGGAAUUUCCUGUGUAGCGGUGAAAUGCGUAGAUAUAGGAAGGAACACCAGUGGCGAAGGCGGCACUCUGGACCAAUACUGACACUGAGGUGCGAAAGCGUGGGGAGCA